rnacentral:rRNA from 1 species
UUAAGCGACUAAGCGUACACGGUGGAUGCCCUGGCAGUCAGAGGCGAUGAAGGACGUGCUAAUCUGCGAUAAGCGUCGGUAAGGUGAUAUGAACCGUUAUAACCGGCGAUUUCCGAAUGGGGAAACCCAGUGUGUUUCGACACACUAUCAUUAACUGAAUCCAUAGGUUAAUGAGGCGAACCGGGGGAACUGAAACAUCUAAGUACCCCGAGGAAAAGAAAUCAACCGAGAUUCCCCCAGUAGCGGCGAGCGAACGGGGAGGAGCCCAGAGCCUGAAUCAGUGUGUGUGUUAGUGGAAGCGUCAGGAAAGGCGCGCGAUACAGGGUGACAGCCCCGUACACAAAAAUGCACAUGCUGUGAGCUCGAUGAGUAGGGCGGGACACGUGGUAUCCUGUCUGAAUAUGGGGGGACCAUCCUCCAAGGCUAAAUACUCCUGACUGACCGAUAGUGAACCAGUACCGUGAGGGAAAGGCGAAAAGAACCCCGGCGAGGGGAGUGAAAAAGAACCUGAAACCGUGUACGUACAAGCAGUGGGAGCACAGAGCAAUCUGUGUGACUGCGUACCUUUUGUAUAAUGGGUCAGCGACUUAUAUUCUGUAGCAAGGUUAACCGAAUAGGGGAGCCGAAGGGAAACCGAGUCUUAACUGGGCGUUAAGUUGCAGGGUAUAGACCCGAAACCCGGUGAUCUAGCCAUGGGCAGGUUGAAGGUUGGGUAACACUAACUGGAGGACCGAACCGACUAAUGUUGAAAAAUUAGCGGAUGACUUGUGGCUGGGGGUGAAAGGCCAAUCAAACCGGGAGAUAGCUGGUUCUCCCCGAAAGCUAUUUAGGUAGCGCCUCGUGAAUUCAUCUCCGGGGGUAGAGCACUGUUUCGGCAAGGGGGUCAUCCCGACUUACCAACCCGAUGCAAACUGCGAAUACCGGAGAAUGUUAUCACGGGAGACACACGGCGGGUGCUAACGUCCGUCGUGAAGAGGGAAACAACCCAGACCGCCAGCUAAGGUCCCAAAGUCAUGGUUAAGUGGGAAACGAUGUGGGAAGGCCCAGACAGCCAGGAUGUUGGCUUAGAAGCAGCCAUCAUUUAAAGAAAGCGUAAUAGCUCACUGGUCGAGUCGGCCUGCGCGGAAGAUGUAACGGGGCUAAACCAUGCACCGAAGCUGCGGCAGCGACACUGUGUGUUGUUGGGUAGGGGAGCGUUCUGUAAGCCUGUGAAGGUGUGCUGUGAGGCAUGCUGGAGGUAUCAGAAGUGCGAAUGCUGACAUAAGUAACGAUAAAGCGGGUGAAAAGCCCGCUCGCCGGAAGACCAAGGGUUCCUGUCCAACGUUAAUCGGGGCAGGGUGAGUCGACCCCUAAGGCGAGGCCGAAAGGCGUAGUCGAUGGGAAACAGGUUAAUAUUCCUGUACUUGGUGUUACUGCGAAGGGGGGACGGAGAAGGCUAUGUUGGCCGGGCGACGGUUGUCCCGGUUUAAGCGUGUAGGCUGGUUUUCCAGGCAAAUCCGGAAAAUCAAGGCUGAGGCGUGAUGACGAGGCACUACGGUGCUGAAGCAACAAAUGCCCUGCUUCCAGGAAAAGCCUCUAAGCAUCAGGUAACAUCAAAUCGUACCCCAAACCGACACAGGUGGUCAGGUAGAGAAUACCAAGGCGCUUGAGAGAACUCGGGUGAAGGAACUAGGCAAAAUGGUGCCGUAACUUCGGGAGAAGGCACGCUGAUAUGUAGGUGAAGUCCCUCGCGGAUGGAGCUGAAAUCAGUCGAAGAUACCAGCUGGCUGCAACUGUUUAUUAAAAACACAGCACUGUGCAAACACGAAAGUGGACGUAUACGGUGUGACGCCUGCCCGGUGCCGGAAGGUUAAUUGAUGGGGUCAGCGCAAGCGAAGCUCUUGAUCGAAGCCCCGGUAAACGGCGGCCGUAACUAUAACGGUCCUAAGGUAGCGAAAUUCCUUGUCGGGUAAGUUCCGACCUGCACGAAUGGCGUAAUGAUGGCCAGGCUGUCUCCACCCGAGACUCAGUGAAAUUGAACUCGCUGUGAAGAUGCAGUGUACCCGCGGCAAGACGGAAAGACCCCGUGAACCUUUACUAUAGCUUGACACUGAACAUUGAGCCUUGAUGUGUAGGAUAGGUGGGAGGCUUUGAAGUGUGGACGCCAGUCUGCAUGGAGCCGACCUUGAAAUACCACCCUUUAAUGUUUGAUGUUCUAACGUGGACCCGUGAUCCGGGUUGCGGACAGUGUCUGGUGGGUAGUUUGACUGGGGCGGUCUCCUCCUAAAGAGUAACGGAGGAGCACGAAGGUUGGCUAAUCCUGGUCGGACAUCAGGAGGUUAGUGCAAUGGCAUAAGCCAGCUUGACUGCGAGCGUGACGGCGCGAGCAGGUGCGAAAGCAGGUCAUAGUGAUCCGGUGGUUCUGAAUGGAAGGGCCAUCGCUCAACGGAUAAAAGGUACUCCGGGGAUAACAGGCUGAUACCGCCCAAGAGUUCAUAUCGACGGCGGUGUUUGGCACCUCGAUGUCGGCUCAUCACAUCCUGGGGCUGAAGUAGGUCCCAAGGGUAUGGCUGUUCGCCAUUUAAAGUGGUACGCGAGCUGGGUUUAGAACGUCGUGAGACAGUUCGGUCCCUAUCUGCCGUGGGCGCUGGAGAACUGAGGGGGGCUGCUCCUAGUACGAGAGGACCGGAGUGGACGCAUCACUGGUGUUCGGGUUGUCAUGCCAAUGGCACUGCCCGGUAGCUAAAUGCGGAAGAGAUAAGUGCUGAAAGCAUCUAAGCACGAAACUUGCCCCGAGAUGAGUUCUCCCUGACCCUUUAAGGGUCCUGAAGGAACGUUGAAGACGACGACGUUGAUAGGCCGGGUGUGUAAGCGCAGCGAUGCGUUGAGCUAACCGGUACUAAUGAACCGUGAGGCUUAACCUU